UGGGGAAUAUUGCACAAUGGGCGCAAGCCUGAUGCAGCCAUGCCGCGUGUGUGAAGAAGGCCUUCGGGUUGUAAAGCACUUUCAGCGGGGAGGAAGGCGGUGAGGUUAAUAACCUCACCGAUUGACGUUACCCGCAGAAGAAGCACCGGCUAACUCCGUGCCAGCAGCCGCGGUAAUACGGAGGGUGCAAGCGUUAAUCGGAAUUACUGGGCGUAAAGCGCACGCAGGCGGUCUGUCAAGUCGGAUGUGAAAUCCCCGGGCUCAACCUGGGAACUGCAUUCGAUACUGGCAAGCUUGAGUCUCGUAGAGGGGGGUAGAAUUCCAGGUGUAGCGGUGAAAUGCGUAGAGAUCUGGAGGAAUACCGGUGGCGAAGGCGGCCCCCUGGACGAAGACUGACGCUCAGGUGCGAAAGCGUGGGGAGCAAACAGG
rnacentral:rRNA from 1 species